AUUCAUUCGCUUAAUGAAAACACUGACAGUGCACACUGAUGGUGUGUGUCCUCGUAUGGCAGAGCACACUGGUGCUUCUCUCCUGGGAUGUCAAAAGAAGCAUGUUUGAGAACAAAAGUUGGAUCACCAGUGAGUGGCAUCUGUGGGCUCUCAUUCUCAGAAGUACUCAGCCAUUCAUCAAUGCGGUGCUCUUUAGAACUCCUCUAAGACACAGUGUGCCUGAGAACGAAGCUUUUGCUGUGGCGGCAAGGACAGCUCCUGAACCUGCUGUUUGGAUCGCUUUGAAACAAGUGCAAACAGAAAGGCCUGCCUUGAUUUAACUUUGUAUUCUUGUUUAUUCAUGGGUGCUCCUAAGAGCUUUUCAAGUAAACCUUGCCAGUCAUGAGCAAAAUGAGGUAGGCCAGCACUCUCCACACUUAUGGAUCACACACUGAUUGGGAAGAAUGACGAGGUCUUAGUUCUGAUGAGAGACCGCUCGGGGAAAAAGAACAUGGAAUAAACAAUGGGGUUUUU
rnacentral:lncRNA from 1 species